UGAAAUGUAGCUCAGUGGUAGAGCACUUGCUUAGCUUGCAUAAGGCACUGGGUUCAAUCCUCAGUACUGCAA
rnacentral:tRNA from 1 species